UUGGUUAAGUUAGAAAGGGCGCACGGUGGAUGCCUUGGCACUAGGAGCCGAAGAAGGACGGGACUAACACCGAUAUGCUUUGGGGAGCUGUACGUAAGCGUUGAUCCAGAGAUUUCCGAAUGGGGGAACCCACUAUCUUUAGUCGGAUAGUAUCCUUACGUGAAUACAUAGCGUGAGGAAGGCAGACCCAGGGAACUGAAACAUCUAAGUACCUGGAGGAAGAGAAAGAAAAAUCGAUUUCCUGAGUAGCGGCGAGCGAAACGGAAAGAGCCCAAACCAAGAAGCUUGCUUCUUGGGGUUGUAGGACACUCUAUACGGAGUUACAAAAGAAAGUUAUAAAUGAAGCGGUCUGGAAAGGCCCGCCAAAGACGGUAACAGCCCGGUAGUUGAAAUGGCUUUCCCUCCAGAGUGGAUCCUGAGUACGGCGGAACACGUGAAAUUCCGUCGGAAUCCGGGAGGACCAUCUCCCAAGGCUAAAUACUCCCUAGUGACCGAUAGUGAACCAGUACCGUGAGGGAAAGGUGAAAAGCACCCCGGAAGGGGAGUGAAACAGUUCCUGAAACCGUGUGCCUACAAGUAGUUAGAGCCCGUUAAUGGGUGAUAGCGUGCCUUUUGUAGAAUGAACCGGCGAGUUACGAUUUGUUGCAAGGUUAAGCGGAAAAAGCGGAGCCGUAGCGAAAGCGAGUCUGAAUAGGGCGCAUAAGUAACAGGUCGUAGACCCGAAACCAGGUGAUCUACCCAUGUCCAGGAUGAAGGUAAGGUAAUACUUACUGGAGGUCCGAACCCACGCACGUUGAAAAGUGCGGGGAUGAGGUGUGGGUAGCGGAGAAAUUCCAAUCGAACUUGGAGAUAGCUGGUUCUCUCCGAAAUAGCUUUAGGGCUAGCCUCGAGGUAAAGAGUCAUGGAGGUAGAGCACUGUUUGGACUAGGGGCCCUUCUCGGGUUACCGAAUUCAGAUAAACUCCGAAUGCCAUGUACUUAUACUCGGGAGUCAGACUGCGAGUGAUAAGAUCCGUAGUCGAAAGGGAAACAGCCCAGACCACCAGUUAAGGUCCCCAAAUAUAUGUUAAGUGGAAAAGGAUGUGGGGUUGCUUAGACAACCAGGAUGUUGGCUUAGAAGCAGCCACCAUUGAAAGAGUGCGUAAUAGCUCACUGGUCGAGUGACCCCGCGCCGAAAAUGUACCGGGGCUAAACAUAUUACCGAAACUGUGGAUGAACCUCUUUAGAGGUUCGUGGUAGGAGAGCGUUCUAAGGGCGGUGAAGUCAGACCGGAAGGACUGGUGGAGCGCUUAGAAGUGAGAAUGCCGGUAUGAGUAGCGAAAGAAGGGUGAGAAUCCCUUCCACCGAAUAUCUAAGGUUUCCUGAGGAAGGCUCGUCCGCUCAGGGUUAGUCGGGACCUAAGCCGAGGCCGAUAGGCGUAGGCGAUGGACAACAGGUAGAGAUUCCUGUACCAGUGCUAAUUGUUUAACCGAUGGGGUGACACAGAAGGAUAGGGAAUCGCACGAAUGGAAAUGUGCGUCCAAGCAGUGAGUGUGAGAAGUAGGCAAAUCCGCUUCUCGCGAAGCAUGAGCUGUGAUGGGGAAGGAAAUUAAGUACGGAAGUUCCUGAUUUCACGCUGUCAAGAAAAGCCUCUAGGAAGAGUAGUACUGCCCGUACCGCAAACCGACACAGGUAGAUGAGGAGAGAAUCCUAAGGUGAGCGAGAGAACUCUCGUUAAGGAACUCGGCAAAAUGACCCCGUAACUUCGGGAGAAGGGGUGCUCUAUUAGGGUGCAAGCCCGAGAGAGCCGCAGUGAAUAGGCCCAGGCGACUGUUUAGCAAAAACACAGGUCUCUGCAAAACCGUAAGGUGACGUAUAGGGGCUGACGCCU
rnacentral:rRNA from 1 species